AUUAAAAUCCGAGAUCUCUGGUUAACGAUGAAUAGGUUCAAUCCUCAUACCACUCUCAUAAGGUGGUUGCCAAAAAUUAAAAAAUAAAAUAAAAUCCCUUGCAAAAUAACCAAGAUGAGACUAUCAACUGAAGUUAAGCCUCUUAGUUUUAAACUAAGAAAUUGUACAAGACUACUGCAACUGCAACUGCAUUAACAAUAAACAAGAAGUCGAUGGAACGCGUACUGUACUCAAAUGUGUCGCGUUUAAAAGCAUUUUCGAUGAACAACAGAAGGUCCACUCUCGUCGUAAUCAGCUUUGGUUAUGUGCUGGUUUUGAGGGAAGACAACUUUGGCAAGUAUAGCACCACCAAUCCAUGCUGAAUAUGAAGUCAAGUUUUCUGGCAUAUAUUCUGGAGGCUUUACAAGCGAAGGACGAACUGCUGAUGAGCAAAGGGUAGCUUCUCUCUGAAACCGAUCUUCAAACCCGGUUAAAGUAGCAGUGCCACCACAAAGUACCGUGUUCUCUAGCAGCUGGCGAUGAUUUUCAGAUGACACAGACGAAAUACUAUGAACAAGCUGCUCAACUAUUCCAUGAGUAUCAUUGCCUAAUAUAGAUGGUUGAAACA
rnacentral:misc_RNA from 1 species